rnacentral:misc_RNA from 1 species
GAUGAAGAACGUAGUGAAACGCGAUAAGUAAUGUGAAUUGCAGAAUUCCGUGAAUCAUCGAAUCUUUGAACGCACAUUGCGCCCCCUGGCAUUCCGGGGGGCAUGCCUGUCCGAGCGUCAUUUCUGCCCUCAAGCACGGCUUGUGUGUUGGGUGCGGUCCCCCCGGGGACCUGCCCGAAAGGCAGCGGCGACGUCCGUCUGGUCCUCGAGCGUAUGGGGCUCUGUCACUCGCUCGGGAAGGACCUGCGGGGGUUGGUCACCACUAUAUUUUACCACGGUUGACCUCGGAUCAGGUAGGAGUUACCCGCUGAACUUAAGCAUAUCAAUAAGCGGAGGA